rnacentral:rRNA from 1 species
CCUACGGGGGGCAGCAGUGGGGAAUAUUGGGCAAUGGGCGCAAGCCUGACCCAGCAACGCCGCGUGAAGGAAGAAGGCUUUCGGGUUGUAAACUUCUUUUCUCAGGGACGAAGCAAGUAACGGUACCUGAGGAAUAAGCCACGGCUAACUACGUGCCAGCAGCCGCGGUAAGACGUAGGUGGCAAGCGUUAUCCGGAUUUACUGGGUGUAAAGGGCGUGUAGGCGGGACUGCAAGUCAGAUGUGAAAACCAUGGGCUCAACCUAUGGCCUGUAUUGGAUACUGUAGUUCUUGAGUACUGGAGAGGCAGACGGAAGUGCGAGUGUAGCGGUGAAAUGCGUAGAUAGUAGGAGGAACACCAGUGGCGAAGGCGGUCUGCUGGACAGCAACUGACGCUGAGGCGCGAAAGCGUGGGGAGCAAACAGGAUUAGAUACCCUAGUAGUC